CCCUGCGUGCGUCGUGGAGCGCGGCGGACCGCUCCAUCCGCUCGCCCCUGCGAGGAAGCGCCGUCCGGGGCCCCUCCCCGCCCCGUCCGCGGUUAGGAGCGGCGCGCUGGCCGGGGCGGCGGUAUCAGGGCAGCGGGCGCGCCCCAUCCCUUUCACUCCUUGGCGGGACGACUGCCCGGCUCAGUGCUGUCCCGGGAGCCCACUCCCGAUCCUUGGCUUCCGUCUCGCCUUCCCUGAACACCUAGCUUGUACCAGCGUGGCGCUGGGGAAGCAUUUGUGGAGACAGGGCGACGUGUGGAGGUAAAUGCGACGCAAAAUGCUGGGGGGAGCUCUAAGAAGCAGGAAGGGGCAAAAGAGUUAGUUUUCUGGGCUCCUUUCUCUCACUGACCCCAGAUUACUACAGAUUACUGGGGGCGCCAGUAUGCCCAUUUUACCGAACGACAGAGAGAUCAAAUGGCUUCCCUGGGGCCAUUUAAUGCCAAACGUGGCACACCAAGCUUCUGCCUCAUCCCAGCUCCUCGGGUGAAAAGGCUUACCUCCGCCCAGGAGUGUGGGCAGCGGCUUAACCGUUGCCUUGGAAGUGUGUGGUCACUGUUAGCUGCUGACAGCUGAGGGAGAAAAGUCCAUCUUUUGCUUAGUUUGCAUCAGCAUCAUCACGUACCAUCCCGGUCAUCUUCCAUGGAAAGGAGGAAGGGAAAUUCGAUUCCUUGAGAGAAUGUGAGUUAUCCCCUUUUAUGAUUCUAUUAUGGAAAUUCUUCUGAAGGUGUAAAAGGAUAGGCUGCCGCGUAUGGGGUGGAAUGGAGGAAGAGGCACUUGACUAGAAUCGUGUUUCCCUUCAGGUCCCUAACCUGUUUCCUUAGGCAGAUCUCCCAAGGGAGGGCUCACUGGGUGGGGGUUGGAGGGUGGAUGAUAGGAUUUGGUAAGGGAAAUUGGCCUGUAGGUCCAUCCUGCUCUUACCUCUCUCUGGCUGGCCCAGCUUCUCCAGUGGCUCCUCCCUCCCUUUGCUCCAGCAGCUGUCCACUCUGUUUAGACUGGCACCUAUGCCUCUUCUCGCUAUGAGACAUGCUGUGUUUGCUGUGUAACUCCCCCCCACCUCCUCCACCCAAGUGAGCUCCAAGGGGACAGCACUUGUUGUCUCUUACAUUCCCUGCUUUCUUUCUUGUUCCUAGGACAGGUCCUGGCACACAGGGGCACUGUCAGUAAAUUCUUGUUGAUUGAAUGAGCUCUCCUACAAAGCUUAUUUAAUUCCACCUAGCAGCCCCUGACAUUAAUUGAACCAGUCCUUAUGCCAGAACACUUUAAAUGCAUUAUCUCAUAUUAUUCUCACAACAGAACUCAGGUUGGUGCUGUUAGAAUUCCCAUUUUACAAAGAGAGAAAGUGAAGACCAGUGAGGUUAAGUAACUUGCCCAGGGUCACGCAGCAGCUGAUAAAUAGGGGAGCUAAUGACAGAAACCACACAGUCUGGGUCUGGGACCUGAGUCCCAACCAUCUUUGGUUAGAAGAUGAAGAGGACUGAUCGCAGCAUCAGGUUCAAUAAGCCUGGAACCGGAGAGGUCUUAAGGUUGAAAGGAGGAGGCCAGAGGUCGCCGCCAUCAAAAUCGUCCCUUCCGAGCUUCUGUGGCUGCUGGGUGGGUCCUGAGGCCUCACAUGCGACCAUCAGUGUGCCCAGGAGGUUAAGCAGAGAAGCCUCUUCAAAAAUGCCCUCCCUUCAAAGUACCUGCUGGUGGCCAAACAUCUCUACUUUUCCGCGUGGGAAUAAGGGGCCAAUGGGAUGUAGAUGAGCCACCAAAGGCCAUCUACAGAUUGGCCCUGAGCUGUCGCGGGUUUCCCCGGCCAGGGGCUCCGCCACCUUCCGAUCCCCUUGGAAGACCCCGAAGGAGAAAUGUCGGGAAGGAAAGUAGAAACUGGAACUCUUGACUCUGGGAAGACAGAACCUGACUGCGCCGGGCGGGGCGCGCGGGUCUGCACCGUGCAGUUGGGCCCCAAGCCGGGGCGGGGGCCACGCGCGACCGGCCCCAGGAGGGCGAGGCGCAGGGGCCGCCGUGAGUCCCGCGUUUAGGGCACUGGCGUCUCUCGUUACGCGGUCUCCUUGUGUCUGUGAUUAAAACACCAGGAAAUGACUUGGAGCCCGAGAAGUUCGCUCUGUGAGCCGGGUUUUCUCAAUCCUUGCGGAGAUGGAGCGGAUGUGGAAACCAGCCCUGCGCCCCCGGAUUCAGGUUCCUGUCCCGGAGCUGCUUGCAUGCGCCGGGAACUCAUCCACCCACUGGGCCUUCGCGGCGCCAACAGACUUUAAGUGUAGGGAGAUACAGAGCGUGUUGAACACAGAUUCUUUGCCAGUGUCACCGAAUUCAUUGGAGCCAUGGGUCAUUUUGUGGUUAUGUGUGUUGUUUUUAGUCCAAAGAUACUAAAAUCAUAACUACUCAUCCUGAGGGUUUCUGGGAAAUUUUGGAGAUUGAAAUACCUGAAAAUUCUGGUAAUCCCUGUUCAAGUGAGUCAAUUAAAAAGAAUUUGUUUACCCACACCCCCAGGUAGAAUCACAGGAAAGUCAAUGGAGAAGUAUGCUCAGUCUCUCCAGUUCUGUUUGGAAACUCAAACCCUCCUCCCCAUGUUUUCAGUUGCAAAUUAGAAAUCACAUUAAUUGCCCUAAAAUGCAGCAAUUUGCCUUAUGCAGAAGUUUGUUUUUGAACCAAGAUUUGCUUCAGUUUUCUUCCCUAGACGGUGUUAGGUGAUAUCAUGGAACUAUUAAACAAAAAACCCAACUGA